AGCUGGUCUGAUGGUAGUGGGUUAUCAGAACUUAUUAACAUUAGUAUCACUAAAGUUGGUAUUCAACCCCCCACUGCUAAAUUUGACUGGCUUAAA
rnacentral:Y_RNA from 1 species